rnacentral:rRNA from 1 species
GUGAGGAAUAUUGGUCAAUGGGCGUAAGCCUGAACCAGCCAAGUAGCGUGCAGGAUGACGGCCCUAUGGGUUGUAAACUGCUUUUAUGCGGGGAUAAAGUGACGUACGUGUACGUUUUUGUAGGUACCGCAUGAAUAAGGACCGGCUAAUUCCGUGCCAGCAGCCGCGGUAAUACGGAAGGUCCGGGCGUUAUCCGGAUUUAUUGGGUUUAAAGGGAGCGCAGGCGGAGGCUUAAGCGUGACGUGAAAUGCCGCGGCUCAACCGUGGAAGUGCGUCGCGAACUGGGUUUCUUGAGUGAGUGCGACGUGUACGGAAUUCGUGGUGUAGCGGUGAAAUGCUUAGAUAUCACGAAGAACCCCGAUUGCGAAGGCAGUGCACGAGUCCUUUACUGACGCUAAAGCUCGAAGGUGCGGGUAUCGAACAGGAUUAGAAACCCGAGUAGUCC